GCCAGUCGAAUUUUCUUUGGAGCUAGAAACAAUCAAAAGAAAAUAUUUCGUUUUUUAUGAAGUUUAAGUUUCCUUUUGGAGUACGGAGCGUCCAGCUCUGUGAAUGAUGUAAGUUUUGAAGACUAGAGGCUUCCUUUCAUCGAGUAUUUGUUUUGUUUCAAUUCGCCUUAUUCACCCGGAACUUUCUAAAGACGUUGAGGGGUACACUUCAGGGGGUACACCCGGCUGCACACUGUUUGGCGCCUCACUGCUGUGUGCCCAAAUGUAGUCCUACGUCCUCAAAGAGAAACAAAUCCUACCGUGGACAGACUUUCCACCGUUUCGCCAAAGAGCAGGCACUUCGGCGUGAAUGAAUUAAUCACAUCAAGAGGGAUCCUGGUCCAUAUUUCAAGAUCAACGCUGAGACCGAGGUUUGAUCUGAGCACGUUGAGAAGCAAUGCUUUGUUAAGGUCACCCGUGGUAUGACAACGCUAAUAAAGGAUGCUGUGCCUGCCAACUUUGUUCGCCUGGACUUCAGAGAAGCCAAAGAGGAGAAUCAUCAUUCGCAUACCGUGUAUGGAUUCCAUGGAGUAUUCCAUCGAGUAUUUCUUCUGUUUCAAUCGUCUUGGUGAAGUUUUUGAGCUGGAUCUGGAUUCUGCUGAGGAUUCGUCGACUACUAGAUGGCGAGCCACCCACUCAUUCGAAUGUGAUCCUGUUCUACAUUGCGCAUGGCAUAUUUGGUAGGAUUGUGGCCUGCUCGUGUCACAUCACUGACUAUGACUGACUUCAACGCCUUGAACUGAACUGCUUGAAAGGAGCUAUUUUUCUUUUUGAACAACUUAAAGGAACUCUCUACAUCGUCUCUUUUGAGGAUUUAAAGGACUAUUUCCAAUUUUUGAAGGACAAUUCAAUUUUUUUUUUUUUUUUUAAUGUUCAAACC